CCUACGGGGGGCAGCAGUAGGGAAUCUUCCACAAUGGGCGCAAGCCUGAUGGAGCAACACCGCGUGAGUGAAGAAGGGUUUCGGCUCGUAAAGCUCUGUUGUUGGAGAAGAACGUGCGUGAGAGUAACUGUUCACGCAGUGACGGUAUCCAACCAGCAAGUCACGGCUAACUACGUGCCAGCAGCCGCGGUAAGUCGGCGGUGGCAAGCAUUAUCCGGAUUUAUUGGGCGGAAAGCGCGCGCAGGCGGUUGCUUAGGUCUGAUGUGAAAGGCGUCGGCUUAACCGAAGAAGUGCAUCGGAAAUCGGGCGAGUUGAGUGCAGAAGAGGACAGUGGAACUCCAUGUGUAGCGGUGGAAUGCGUAGAUAUAUGGAAGAACACCAGUGGCGAAGGCGGCUGUCUGGUCUGCAACUGACGCUGAGGCUCGAAAGCAUGGGUAGCGAAACGGAUUAGAUACCCGUGUAGUC
rnacentral:rRNA from 1 species